AUGGGUGGCGAUGCUGCUCUCAGCCCUCCUGACAUCCUUCCCCACCCCAAGGUUAGCAAGGGGGUGAUUCCUCCAGAGAUGAGCAAGUCCUGUGCUGCCCCAGCUUUGACUCCCCUUUUUCCCUCAUCUGGGUGCUCUGGGAAGCAGUGGAUUGGUAAAAAUAAAUGUCCACGUGGAUUGGGAAAAAAAACCAAAACCUGGGGAUGCUGCAGGUGUCCUGGGCUGGCUGUGGCCAUGUGGAGGGGCUUGGUGGCCCCGGUCUCCUCCCAAGGAUGCUGCUUCCCCUGGAGCACGCAUGCUCCUCCUGGCCAUGUGCUCCCACUCGCUCAUGCUCUCCAAGGAGCUUUCCUAGAAAUUGAUGGAUUUAUUUUUAGCCCUGGCGCAGCAGGGCUCAGCUGGGAGGGGAUGGGCAGCGGUGGAUGGUGGCAGCAUGGAAGGCUCCCGAGGUGUCAGUGCUGGGCUGGGGGGGACUGGGGGUGCUGUCCCACUCUGUGGUUCCCCCAUUGCAGCGGGGAACAGGGGCUGGGGCUGGUUUGGGAGGGGUCUCUGAGGCAGGGGGAGUCAACACAGACAGGGAAACGAAUGCCACCGCUGGGGACAGUGGGGUCAGUGUGGGCUGGUGGGGUCAGUGGGACCCCUGGGGACAAUGGGACAUUGGGAACAGCAGCAGUUAGCCACGAUGGGGACAGCUGGUGCCCUUUCCUGGUUUGGAGAGGGGAAAAUAACCCUGCAUGGGCUGGGCAGGAGGUGAGGCAGCAGUGCAGGGACUGGUAUAGGCAGAGGUGCAGGCAGGGUACAUGGUUGUGCCAUGGGCAAGUUCAUCCCAGAGGCUACAGAGCAGCUGCUGCUCCUUCCCACCAGCUCAGCAGGCUCUGGAUGCUCCACAGGACUGAGCCCUGCCCUGCUGCCAGCCCAGGGGCUGUGUCCCCCCAACCCUGCCAUGUCCAGGCCCCUCUUUCACCCCAUUUCCCCGAUGAUUAUACUUUGUCGUUGUUGGGAAGCGCAGUGGGGCCCGGCGCUCCCUGGUGUCCCCCGCUCCUGCCUGACCCACUUAGCGGCACCAUCUGGUCCCCGCGGGCAAAGCGGAUUAGUCCUGUGCCGGGAUCAGGGCUGGGGCGCUGCCACCCUGUGGGUGACACUGCCGGCACUGUCACAGCCCCUGCCAAAGUCCCCACGGGCCCAGCCUGGGGGAGAGCGGCCACGGCAGGAGCCCCACAGCAGCCCCCAGUGUGG
rnacentral:lncRNA from 1 species